UGCCUAGGAAUUGCCUUGAUGUGGGGGAUAACUAUUGGAAACGAUAGCUAAUACCGCAUAAUGCCUACGGGCCAAAGAGGGGGAUCUUCGGACCUCUCGCGUCAAGAUAUGCCUAGGUGGGAUUAGCUAGUUGGUGAGGUAAUGGCUCACCAAGGCAACGAUCCCUAGCUGGUCUGAGAGGAUGAUCAGCCACACUAGAACUGAGACACGGUCCAGACUCCUACGGGAGGCAGCAGUGGGGAAUAUUGCACAAUGGGCGCAAGCCUGAUGCAGCCAUGCCGCGUGUAUGAAGAAGGCCUG
rnacentral:rRNA from 1 species